UGGGGAAUUUUGGACAAUGGGCGAAAGCCUGAUCCAGCAAUGCCGCGUGAGUGAAGAAGGCCUUCGGGUUGUAAAGCUCUUUUGUCAGGGAAGAAACGGUGAAAGCUAAUAUCUUUUGCUAAUGACGGUACCUGAAGAAUAAGCACCGGCUAACUACGUGCCAGCAGCCGCGGUAAUACGUAGGGUGCAAGCGUUAAUCGGAAUUACUGGGCGUAAAGCGUGCGCAGGCGGUUUUGUAAGUCUGAUGUGAAAUCCCCGGGCUCAACCUGGGAAUUGCAUUGGAGACUGCGAGGCUAGAAUCUGGCAGAGGGGGGUAGAAUUCCACGUGUAGCAGUGAAAUGCGUGAUAUGUGGAGGAACACCGAUGGCGAAGGCAGCCCCCCUGGGUCAAGAUUGACGCUCAUGCACGAAAGCGUGGGGAGCAAACAGGAUUAGAUACCCUGGUAGUCCACGCCCUAAACGAUGUCUACUAGUUGUCGGGUCUUAAUUGACUUGGUAACGCAGCUAACGCGUGAAGUAGACCGCCUGGGGAGUACGGUCGCAAGAUUAAAACUCAAAUGAAUUGACGGGGUCAUAGCUGUUUCCU
rnacentral:rRNA from 1 species